rnacentral:lncRNA from 1 species
UUUUGUAUUUUUAAUAGAGACAGGGUUUCACCAUGUUGGCCCGGCUGCUCUUGAACUCCUGACCUCAGGUGAUCUGCUCGCCUCGGCCUCCCAAAGUGCUGGGAUUACAGGUGUAAGCCACCGCACCUGGUAAUUUUUUGUAUUUUUAGUAGAGAUGGGGUUUUGCCAUGUUGACUAGGCUGGUCUCGAACUUCAGACCUCAGGUGAUCUGCCUGCCUCAGCCUCCCAGGGUGCUGGAAUUACAGGCAUGAGCCACCACACCUAGCCCUGAUGACUCUUAUUCUUUCUAGUAGUGGCUUACAACCAGGCUCUACUGACCUCUUAAAUAUUAAUGAAUUCACUACUUAAUUUCUUCCUAGUUCAAGCCUCACCAGCAUACAGUGAGAAGUUUGUUGCAUAUUUUCAGUUCCAUUUUCAAUCCAUUCUCUGCAUUGCCCUCAGCAUGGUCUGUCUAAAACACACAUUUGACCCUGAUGCUCCCCCACUUAAGGCCCUCCAAAGUCGUCUCCUCCUUAAAGGUUGAAAACUGACUGCCUGAUGGCUGGAUCUGGCUCUCAGAUUUGUUUUAAUCUUUACAGUGUCAAAAAUUAUUUUAAGGCCGGGUGUGGUGGCUCACGCCUGUAAUCCCAGCACUGUAGGAGGCCGAGGCAGGCAGAUUGCUUGAGGUCAGGAGUUGGAGACCAGCCCAGACAACAUAGUGAAACGCCGUCUCUACUAAAAAUACAAAAAAUUAGCUGGGUGUGGUGGCGCAUGUCUGUAGUCCUAGCUAUUCAGGAGGCUGAGGCAGAAUAAUCGCUUGAACCUGGGAAGUGGAGGUUGCAGUGAGCUGAGAUCGUGCCACUGCAUUCCAGCCUGGGCGACAGAGCGAGACAACGUCUCAAAAAAAAAGAAAUUAUUUUGACUUGUUACUGACAUUAAAAAAUUUUUAUUAGUUGCUGACAUUUAAAAAUGUGCAUCUUCUAAAAAUCCAGACUAUAAGCUUCUGUUGAAAAAUGGGAGGCUGAGAGAGGUGGCUCACAAUCCCAGCACUUUGGGAGGCUGAGGUGGAUGGAUUGAUUUAGGUCAGGAGUUCAAGACCAGCCUGGCCAACAUGGCAAAACCCCAUCUCUACUAAAAAUACAAAAAAUGAGCUGGGCGUGGUGGUGCGAGCCUGUAGUGCCAGCUACUCGGGAGGCUGAGGCGGGAGAAUUGCUUGAACCCGGGAGGCAGAGGUUGCAGUGAGCCAAGAGCUCACCACUGCACUCCUGCCUGUGCAAUAGAGUGAGACUCCAUUUCAAAAAAAAUAAAUAAAUAAAACGGGGAGCCAGGUUCGGUGGCUCGUGACUGUAAUCCCAGCACUUUGGAAGGCCGAGGCAGGCAGAUCACAAGGUGGGGAAUUUGAGACCAGCCUGGCCGACGUGGUGAAACCCCGUCUCUACUAAAAAUACGAAAGUUAGCAGAGCGCGGUAGCACGUGCCUGUAAUCCCAGCUGCUCCGGAGGCUGAGGCAGGAGAAUUGCUUGAACCCGGGAGGCAGAGGUUGCAGUCAGCCGAGAUCACCCCACUGCACUCUAGCCUGGAUGACAGAGUGAGACUCUGUCUCAGAAAG